rnacentral:lncRNA from 1 species
UUUGGAAGUCACUGUUAUAUUAUGGUGUUGCUUAAAUAUUUGACACCCAACUUGUAAACGUAGAAAGCUAUAUUUUUCGUCAUUAUAUGUACCAUAUCAUAUAAGUUCAAUAUAAAUUGAUAAGCUCGUUACCUCUACUGUCUUUUAACUAUCGUGUAGUCUUUUUCUUUUAAACUUUGUCAAUCUUAUCUUUUAAUCUGUAACUUUAUCUACUUAGUUAAGAUUUUGAUAUAUUUGUAAUAGUAAGCCAUUAACAUAAAUACGAAUAUUAAUUACUGAUAUCAUUAGUGAAAUGCAUGCAUGUUGUGUCUUUCUUCAUUCUGUUCAUGUAAGCUCUAAAAAUAUAUAACUUGGUACUUCAUCUUGCUCUACAAAUGUAAAGAACAUGUUGACCAUACAAUAUAUGUGAAUUUUCUAUUUUCUUAAUUGAUCUUAUCGUUAGCUAGAAUGUUUUUUGCAUUAAGUGUAAAGUAUUAGCCUAUUUUCUACCAUUAUUUAAUUAGCUUCAUAUAGGAGCAUUGACGAUAUGUUUUGCUGAAAAUCUCUCUUUUUAAUGUUCACUUGUAUUAAUGUUUGUAUUUUGCAAUUUUUUUUUGUAGAAUGUGGUAUUGGAUUAAUCAAAACAUAAGAUCUUACCCAAACUAUUCAUGAUUUUUUCCGCCAACCCUGUAUAUACUCUCCUUUCUCCUCUUCAUCUGAAUGCUUUCUAUUGCUUUCUAUUUGAUAUUUAGGUGUGAAUUUAAUUCAAGUUUCUUUGUUAACUUAAUUGUUUAUUUUGUUACAACAUGUAUUAAUUUCAUUUAUCUUUCUUUUGCAUAUGAAUCUAUUGUGGAGUUCAAAUGGACUCUUUUCCUCCAUAUCUUGUAACGGACUAAUGCGGCCUAUCCCUUUGAGCCAGCUAUCUUUGGAGAAAGAAGGAUCUACCAUAAGCAGAAGGAGAAAUGGGUCGAAAUGUCAUUGUUGAAGUCGUUAAGAGACUUGAAAAGUUUCGAUUUUCACUAUUAUUAUUUUUAUCUUUAUUUAUGUACCUAUCUAUUUAUUAAUUCAUUCAUUUGGGGCCUCGAAACCGAAGUUUUAACUAAAAAUUACACAAAUCCACAACUUAAGUUUCACUUAUUACAAUAAAUCCCAUCUUUCCAAACAUAUUAUAAAAAUUCCAUUUUUCUCUAAAAAUAUAUAUACAUAGCUUCUAUGUAUAUGUCGGCCCUGUUAUGUAUAUGAAUCGGC